rnacentral:rRNA from 1 species
AUUGAACGCUGGCGGCAUGCCUUACACAUGCAAGUCGAACGGCAGCACGGGAGCAAUCCUGGUGGCGAGUGGCGAACGGGUGAGUAAAGUAUCGGAACGUGCCCAGUCGUGGGGGAUAACGUAGCGAAAGUUACGCUAAUACCGCAUACGAUCUAUGGAUGAAAGCGGGGGAUCGCAAGACCUCGCGCGACUGGAGCGGCCGAUAUCAGAUUAGGUAGUUGGUGGGGUAAAGGCUCACCAAGCCGACGAUCUGUAGCUGGUCUGAGAGGACGACCAGCCACACUGGGACUGAGACACGGCCCAGACUCCUAAGGGAGGCAGCAGUGGGGAAUUUUGGACAAUGGGCGCAAGCCUGAUCCAGCCAUGCCGCGUGCAGGAUGAAGGCCUUCGGGUUGUAAACUGCUUUUGUACGGAACGAAAAGGUUUGGCCUAAUAAGCUGAGCUCAUGACGGUACCGUAAGAAUAAGCACCGGCUAACUACGUGCCAGCCGCCGCCGUAA